rnacentral:rRNA from 1 species
UACGUAGGGUGCGAGCGUUAAUCGGAAUUACUGGGCGUAAAGCGUGCGCAGGCGGUUUUGUAAGCCAGAUGUGAAAGCCCCGGGCUUAACCUGGGAAUGGCAUUUGGGACUGCAAGGCUAGAGUGUGGCAGAGGAGACUGGAAUUCCUGGUGUAGCAGUGAAAUGCGUAGAUAUCAGGAGGAAGACCAGUGGCGAAGGCGGGUCUCUGGACAGUUCCUGACACUGAGACACGAAGGCCAGGGGAGCAAACGGG